UCCCUACGGGGGGCAGCAGUGAGGAAUAUUGGUCAAUGGGCGGGAGCCUGAACCAGCCAAGUCGCGUGAGGGAAGACGGUCCUAUGGAUUGUAAACUUCUUUUGUCAGGGAGCAAUUGAGUCCACGUGUGGGCUUAGCGAGAGUACCUGAAGAAAAAGCAUCGGCUAACUCCGUGCCAGCAGCCGCGGUAAUACGGAGGAUGCGAGCGUUAUCCGGAUUUAUUGGGUUUAAAGGGUGCGUAGGCGGAAUAUCAAGUCAGCGGUAAAAAUUCGGGGCUCAACCCCGUCGUGCCGUUGAACCUGUUG
rnacentral:rRNA from 1 species